CUACGGGACGCUCCAGUGGGGAAUAUUGCACAAUGGAGGAAACUCUGAUGCAGCAACGCCGCGUGGAGGAUGACACUUUUCGGAGCGUAAACUCCUUUUAUAUAGGAAGAAGAUGACGGUACUAUAUGAAUAAGCGCCGGCUAACUCCGUGCCAGCAGCCGUGGUAAUACGGAGGGCGCAAGCGUUACUCGGAAUCACUGGGCGUAAAGAGCGUGUAGGCGGAUUAAAAAGUCAGAAGUGAAAUCCUAUAGCUUAACUAUAGAACUGCUUCUGAAACUCUUAAUCUAGAAUAUGGGAGAGGUAGAUGGAAUUUCUGGUGUAGGGGUAAAAUCCGUAGAGAUCAGAAGGAAUACCGAUUGCGAAGGCGAUCUACUAGAACAUUAUUGACGCUGAGACGCGAAAGCGUGGGGAGCAAACAGGAUUAAAUACCCUCGUAGUC
rnacentral:rRNA from 1 species